AACGAACGCUGGCGGCAGGCUUAACACAUGCAAGUCGAACGCUCGUGGCAACACGGGAGUGGCGGACGGGUGAGUAACGCGUGGGAACGUGCCCUGAGGUUGGGAAUAACUGCGGGAAACUGCAGCUAAUACCUGAUGAGCCCCGAGAGGGGGAAAGAUUUAUCGCCUUGGGAGCGGCCCGCGUCGGAUUAGCUAGUUGGUGGGGUAACGGCCUACCAAGGCUUCGAUCCGUAGCUGGUCUGAGAGGACGAUCAGCCACACUGGGACUGAGACACGGCCCAGACUCCUACGGGAGGCAGCAGUGGGGAAUCUUGCGCAAUGGGGGCAACCCUGACGCAGCCAUGCCGCGUGAAUGAUGAAGGCCUUAGGGUUGUAAAGUUCUUUUGCCCGUGACGAUGAUGACGGUAACGGGAGAAUAAGCUCCGGCUAACUUCGUG
rnacentral:rRNA from 1 species